rnacentral:rRNA from 1 species
GAGUUUGAUCAUGGCUCAGAUUGAACGCUGGCGGCAGGCCUAACACAUGCAAGUCGAACGGUAACAGGAAACAGCUUGCUGUUUCGCUGACGAGUGGCGGACGGGUGAGUAAUGUCUGGGAAACUGCCUGAUGGAGGGGGAUAACUACUGGAAACGGUAGCUAAUACCGCAUAACGUCGCAAGACCAAAGAGGGGGACCUUCGGGCCUCUUGCCAUCAGAUGUGCCCAGAUGGGAUUAGCUAGUAGGUGGGGUAACGGCUCACCUAGGCGACGAUCCCUAGCUGGUCUGAGAGGAUGACCAGCCACACUGGAACUGAGACACGGUCCAGACUCCUACGGGAGGCAGCAGUGGGGAAUAUUGCACAAUGGGCGCAAGCCUGAUGCAGCCAUGCCGCGUGUAUGAAGAAGGCCUUCGGGUUGUAAAGUACUUUCAGCGGGGAGGAAGGGAGUAAAGUUAAUACCUUUGCUCAUUGACGUUACCCGCAGAAGAAGCACCGGCUAACUCCGUGCCAGCAGCCGCGGUAAUACGGAGGGUGCAAGCGUUAAUCGGAAUUACUGGGCGUAAAGCGCACGCAGGCGGUUUGUUAAGUCAGAUGUGAAAUCCCCGGGCUCAACCUGGGAACUGCAUCUGAUACUGGCAAGCUUGAGUCUCGUAGAGGGGGGUAGAAUUCCAGGUGUAGCGGUGAAAUGCGUAGAGAUCUGGAGGAAUACCGGUGGCGAAGGCGGCCCCCUGGACGAAGACUGACGCUCAGGUGCGAAAGCGUGGGGAGCAAACAGGAUUAGAUACCCUGGUAGUCCACGCCGUAAACGAUGUCGACUUGGAGGUUGUGCCCUUGAGGCGUGGCUUCCGGAGCUAACGCGUUAAGUCGACCGCCUGGGGAGUACGGCCGCAAGGUUAAAACUCAAAUGAAUUGACGGGGGCCCGCACAAGCGGUGGAGCAUGUGGUUUAAUUCGAUGCAACGCGAAGAACCUUACCUGGUCUUGACAUCCACGGAAGUUUUCAGAGAUGAGAAUGUGCCUUCGGGAACCGUGAGACAGGUGCUGCAUGGCUGUCGUCAGCUCGUGUUGUGAAAUGUUGGGUUAAGUCCCGCAACGAGCGCAACCCUUAUCCUUUGUUGCCAGCGGUCCGGCCGGGAACUCAAAGGAGACUGCCAGUGAUAAACUGGGGGAAGGUGGGGAUGACGUCAAGUCAUCAUGGCCCUUACGACCAGGGCUACACACGUGCUACAAUGGCGCAUACAAAGAGAAGCGACCUCGCGAGAGCAAGCGGACCUCAUAAAGUGCGUCGUAGUCCGGAUUGGAGUCUGCAACUCGACUCCAUGAAGUCGGAAUCGCUAGUAAUCGUGGAUCAGAAUGCCACGGUGAAUACGUUCCCGGGCCUUGUACACACCGCCCGUCACACCAUGGGAGUGGGUUGCAAAAGAAGUAGGUAGCUUAACCUUCGGGAGGGCGCUUACCACUUUGUGAUUCAUGACUGGGGUGAAGUCGUAACAAGGUAACCGUAGGGGAACCUGCGGUUG